rnacentral:rRNA from 2 species
AAACGACUCUCGGCAACGGAUAUCUCGGCUCCCGCAUCGAUGAAGAACGUAGCAAAAUGCGAUACUUGGUGUGAAUUGCAGAAUCCCGUGAACCAUCGAGUUUUUGAACGCAAGUUGCGCCCGAAGCCAUUCGGCCGAGGGCACGUCUGCCUGGGCGUCACGCA